rnacentral:tRNA from 1 species
UGGCUCAGCUGGUAGAGCAUGGUGUUUGCAACGCCAGGGUUGUGGGUUCGAUUCCCAC